UCUCUGGUGGCUCAUGUGGUAAAGAAUCUGCCUGCAAUGCAGGAGACCCAGGUUCGAUCCCUGGGUUGGGAA
rnacentral:tRNA from 1 species